rnacentral:tRNA from 1 species
GUUUUCAUAGUUUAAAAAAAACACUAGAUUGUGAAUCUAAAGACAGAAAUCAAAACUUUCUUUUAAACC